UGGAAGGAGGUUUUUAGUUAGGGAUGCAAACGGAGCAGAUCUGGAGGUGGGAGCUCCACCCCGCCUCCCGCCCCGAACCGUGAUGGGUUAAAAAAUAUAUCUUAUAAUUUGCUCCGCCUCGUAACCCGCCUCCCGCCGGCGCUCCAAAUUUGCCCCAUCAACUAAUAUUUUUUAUAAAAUUAUAAUAUUAUUAAUAUUUUGUAAAAUAUAAAUUAAUAAUUUUUACUAAUAUUAUAUAUGUAAGUAACAAUAUUAAUUAUAAAAAUUUAAAAUAUCAAUCAUAAUUUAAAGCAAAAUUCAAAAGUUUCAAAUACAUGAGAAAUAAGAGUACUAAAUUAUUUGUAUUUUAGAAUUUUUUUAAAUACAUUAUUUUUUAGAGAUGUUUUUUAAAAUAUAAAUAGUUUUCGGGGCUGAUUCGGAGUGGAUCAUGGCAGGGCGGAUUCGCGGCGGUCAAAAUUUCUCCCGUUUUCUCCCCAAAUCCGUUUCUGAUUAUAAAAAUUAUUCCGUUUCCUACCCCAAACCCGUUUAAUUUUUUCGGUUUACUACCCCAUUUGGGGCGGAUCGGGGCGGGAACUCCACAUCCGGUUGCAUCCCUAUUUUUAGUCCAUUAACCCUCUCAAUUUUUUUUUCCAAAAAAAUAAAAAUUUAUAUAUAUUUUCAAAAAAUUAAAUAUUUGUUAUAUUGUACUUAUUUUUAUAAAUUUUAACUUUUUAAAUCAAAAUAUCAAUUCAAACUAAAGAAUUUACUGUUUACAUUUAAAAGUUUACAUAUUUUUUUUAAAAAAAACAAAACUUUUAGGGACCGGCUCAAAGUACGGCCCGAGCCUUUCAGUCCUAAGAGCAGUGCUGAGCCGGAGGAAAAAUUCUAAAAUGCAACGGGUAUAUUAGUGACGUGGCGUAAUAAACCAAUCAAAUGUCUUAUUUUUGGAGUAUAUGUCCCAUCAUGAUUAUAAAAAAAUAUUUUUAUUUUACUUUUGUUUGAAAAGAAGGAAUAUGAUUGGCUUGUUAUUGAUGACGUGGUGUAAGUGUGAUAGUAUAAAAUUUCUCGAGCCAGAGGCUUGGUAGUUGCUGCCCAGCUC
rnacentral:lncRNA from 1 species